GCUCCCUUCGUCUAGUGGUCUAGGACGUCGCCCUCUCACGGCGGGAACAGGGGUUCGAGUCCCCUAGGGAGCG
rnacentral:tRNA from 1 species